AAAUAUGAGUCAUCGAAAAUUGUGUUGGUCGCGGCACUAAAAGCACGAGGAGACCUCCACGGAAGCCCCUCAUGUCCCCUCAGUGAUUCGCAGUAAUUUGUAAAUUGCGUAUGAAAUAAACAUUCCGUAUGCUCUAUGCUAUGCAAUGUUUAUAGAGAGAAACAAUAAGAUUUCGUGUGACGGCUGGUAUGGCGUAAAUUGUCUUUCAAGUAUCAAACGUGUGCAACAAGUGAGCUUCACCAGGAAUAUUCCAAACACUAAUAAGAUCUGUUACUAUUGCAAAUUGAACUGAAAUGAAUUGUUCAUUGUUGACCACCCGAAGGAUGAUCGCGAUGGAAUUUUUUAACUUCAACUUGAUAUUUGCCUUGGAGCAGUGCUCCGUUUUUUCUUUAUUUCUUCAUUCAAUUCCAUUGAUAUGUGUAUAUUUGUGUUGAUUAUAGUAACUCCCUUUUGGCGCACCAACUUAAAGACAUGUUGGUUAAGUUCUUGGAAACAUUUGCAGAAUGAUCGCUGAAAGGUGAUCAAGCGUAAUUAGCUGCAACAUGUCGUUUUAAUAUGAACCACAUACAUCAAGAACGCGAGAUUUUCUUCCUGCAAGUGGAACACUGAACUGACGUUGUGAUGGUUUCUUUGCUGGAGGACUCCUUCGCCCAUGUCACAAUUUCACCGAUCACGCAAUCAUUUCGAGGCCCAAAAUCGCAAAAUACUUGGAUAUUGCGUUGGAUCAAAAAGGAAUACAGUCUAUAGCUAAAUUAUAAAUCUCUUUUUAAUAUCGUAUUACAUUGAUUGAGAUAAUGAGUUUCAGUGAAUUUGGUUAAAGAACGAUGUUACGGUUGUAUUCAGUGAAUGGUAUCUAGGACAUAUCCAAUUUACCGCAAAAAAACUAUUUAUAUGGAAGCUAUAUGCGAAAACGGUUGAAUCCGAACAUUAAGCUUUUUACAUCAGGAAACCCUAAUUCUAGCAGGUUUACCAUUUUUCGUCUUCUUAACACCGAUAAAAAUACAUUGUAUUCUCCCUGUUUAAAGUUCUAGCAAUUGCUGAAAUAAACUGAAAUAUAUCAAUAAUAUCAUGCAAUAAUAUCAACUCUAAUGGAACAUAAUGCUUAAAACAGAUCACUAUAAUUCAAUUUAGUUGAAUCCCAAAAAGCGAAAUUCUAGCAGUUCAUAAAUCUUUAUCUUAGGAAAUUUCUAAUAUUUUGAAUUGAUAAAAAUCAUUACUUUUUCAAUAGUAUUAGAAAUUUAGAAAGCGCCAAAUGUACCAAAAGUUAGGUUUCCCGAUGAGAAAAUUGGUUUUAAAAUCAAUUUUAACUAUGACAAGACAUGCAAUAGCGCACCUUUAAAUUUGUUUCCACAUUUUUUUUGGAAUUGCCCUACUCCAAAGAUGACCGGAAAUACUCUCUUCUCUUGUAGUAUUCUACAAAUGAAAUAUUCUCCAAUUUUCUGACAAUUUCACUAGUGAAUAAACGUAAAUACAACUGCUAGAAUACUUCUUUUAUACCGAUGCAAAUAGGAUCUUUUGUAGUUUCGAUAUUAAUUUGUUUUAUAAAGAAAUCAUUUUGUGGAUGUAUAACAAUUUAAAAUAUUAAAGCUUCUGAUUUAAUUUAAUAAACAUUUCAAUAGUCAUUAGGGAAUGAUACGAUUAGUUUUAAGAGUGCUAGAAAAAUUGCUCAAUAUGGAAUGAAUAAGGGAGUUAAUAUACAAUGUAUUGCUUGCGUGCUUUAUUCUAAUUACAAUCGUCUAUUCUAACGAGUUAUUACAUAUCGUAGGUAUUUUAAUGACAUUUUUUUUAAAGCAAGUGGUGAAACGAGCUUAUACGUAUACAUAAUUUAUUAAAAGGUGUUUUUCAACUAGGUACUUAAAAAUUCUAGGAAAAUCUCCAAGUUCCAAGAUAUAUUGGAUUAGUGUUUUAAAGCAACCCUACAAAAUUUUAUUUUAAUCUGCCAGGGAUUUCGAAAUUGAAAAGAUCAAGAAAAUUUAAAGUAGAGAAAUAUUCUUACUAGUCCUGAGCCCUGACCCUCUUUCUAGCAGUUUAAGGCCAGACCGCAACGAAAACUUACGUUUAUUUUAUCACUAUGUAUUCCUAUGCAUUAGGAAUAAGUAGUAUUGGAAUUCUAGUGAAAAAAAAUAACAAAUACUUUUUUUUCGUAAAGAUAUAUUGCAUGAGACAAUUAAUAUUGACAGUGAGUCAAAAUUAACCGUCUAGACUUACGUAUCCGGUUUUGAAAACAUACUUACAAAAUGAAUGUUAUUGUGUGGACGUUAUUAAUUUCGGUACUUUUCUUCAAAAGCAAUAAAGAUUACACUCUCUGCAAGAUUUGUCAAAAUAGGAAAGGAAACAUAAUUUCAUGAUCAUGAAAACUGCUAGAAUUAGGGUUGCCUGAGUAAAUAUUAUUUUACAUUUGAAUUGCUUAUGAAUUUUAGAUAUUUUGCAUAUUUUGUUGUGAAUGUUAUAUUCUAUUUUCGAGUGAUAUCAGUUUCGUAUCAUCUCUGUAUUUUCGUCAUAGUGGGUUUCCAAAAUUCCCCCGCGAUUGAAUGAUGCAACCACUGUCUGUUGUUCAGUCAUUCCAAAAUUUUCAAAGAAAAAAAUAAAUUAAUUUGGCAAAAAUAGCACGAAAAAUCUGCAAGGAAAAUCACCCGCAUCAUUGGGAAAAAUGUCGCUUGAGGCCACUCGUGAUUGUGCGGCUUUUCUCCCGGGGAAACGGCCUUGGUGUGUGCUUAACGAUGAUUAAAAGUCGCCGAUGACGUCUCAAGCUGCGUCGACACUUGGCGGAAAAUCUACUUCGCAUUAGGAGCUUUUUGAUAACGUGUAGCUUCUGGCGGCACCAAAAUUUUCGGGUCAUUCAGUUUUUUUGCGACUGGCGAAAGAGAGAGUUGGCAGAUUGUUUUACUCCCAAAAAAGAAAAACAAAAUUAUAAAUUGAGAAAGAAAAAAAUCUUAAACUGCGUUUUUGGACUUGUUUUGGGUGUUGUGCUUCUUUUGCACCCCGAGGACUUUCUUAUUACUUAUUAAUUUUGGCCCGACAAGUGCGUGAGUUUCACUGGUGAAUUUUCUCUUAAAGAGAGUUGAAGGUACAAAGUGACUUUUCUUGGAGUGAUCUUGAACGAAAAAAAAACAAUAAUUUGAAGUGUAACUGAAAGGUGCGAAAGCAGUUGAAUUUUCACGUAAGUCCAAUACGUCUUUUACUCAUGAUGAAAUAUAAAUAAGUGUUUUCCCUCCAACUUCGGCAUUUUCCGGUGUUAAAGAUUAUUCAAACAUACAUUGAUGCUUUUUUUGAGAACUACUCGAGCAUACAGAGAAAACUGCGUGGAGAAUUCACUCUUCUUGGGUGUGUUAAUCGCGGCAUUUUUUUUCAUAAGAAUGUGUGUUGAGAACACAAAUACGACGGGAAAAUGUGGCGAUAGAAAAGCGCGAUCUGCGGCACUAAAAGUGCGCAUUUAUGGUUGGAAUUAAGACUCCGUUAUAUACAAAUACGAAUGUGAAUGAUCAUGAAAAUAAUACGCGAUAAAAUAUUGAAGAUGGGAAAAAGAAAAUUGCCACGAUACGCCGCAGUUCCUGGUGGUUCUACAUGAUGUUGGCGAUUUCUUUGACCGAUCGUUGGUGGCUCUGAGGCCGAUGGGUAGCUUCUAAAGCUUAGAAGAAACGGUUCUCAACCAGAGUCCAUAUGAGUUGAUCACAAUCAAGGUAUAUAUUUGUCGUUUUUGCCUCAAACAUACCCAAGGAGCAUCUCUUUUUCUUUGUCAGUCUUGUCGGUCUUGCCGGUCUUUCGCUGUUACAGGGGCAUUACUCAUUACCGCAUGAAGGAUUCAAUUCGUCUCAAAUAAUUACCUAACGCCGGUGCCUGGGCAAAAACUAUUUAUUUCUCUUCUAUUUAUUUGAGCACAAUUAUAAACAUCGAGAUUUAGUCGUUUUUAACAUUCUGUUUCACAAAAGUAGCAAAAGUAAAUCAUUAUUGCGCCUCUUUGCUUCAAACUAAUUGCUCAAGUAAGCAUAAAUGAGCAAUAUUUUGCAAAACAUUUACAACAAAAUAAUUACUUGAUCAUAUUUUCUAAAAUUUUGUUAAAUUGCCUUCUUAAGUGGGUAAGAUCUCAAAAUCGUAAUAUAAACACAAGUAACCUUCAAAUGACCUUCCUAAUUUUAUAUAUCCAUAAAUUUGUUUCACUAUAAUUAUCUUUAUUUUUCCAUUCUAAGAUAUAAUAGAAUAUUUUAGAAUUGGACCUUAAUUGGAAUUUAGUGAUUUCCUUACUGUUUUAAAUACGGUAAAAAAUACUAAUAGGUUUUCUUGAUUGUAGGGGCUUGUAGAUUCUUAAAUGCACAGGGGCAACUUAAAGAACAAAAAGAUCUUAAUAGCUCUAGCACACCUUUUAGAUCAAGAAAAUUGUAUUAAAACGAAAUUCAUAUACUUUUCCCACUCAAAUUGUUUGCAUAAGUGUAUCUUACUCUUUCGCACUCUUCUUCUUCUUUUAAACAUCACACCAAUAUUUAAUUUAGUUUAGUCCAAUUUUAAGACCGAAAGAGUAGGAUAGACUGAUGCAAAUCUUUUGAGGAAGAGAAGUGAAUUUUGACUUUAUAAAAUUUUCCUGAUCUAAAAGAUGUGCCGGACCCAAAAAGUUCCAAUUUGCUUUCAAUUCCAAAUUGGACCAUUACAUCCUGAGUAGAAGUUCCUCCAAAAAUAUCGCUCUUUAUGAAAUUAUUGAAGUUAAACCAUGGAUCGUUAUAUUUGGUGAAAAACGGUCAAAACGAGUUGAAGGUACAUAGAGUACUAUGAUAUUCAGUUUUCUGAUAUUAAGGUGACAGCUGUCAAAUACACGGGAAAGUCAAAAAAAAUGUCCCUUCUCUUAUGGGUUUAUAUCCAUUUCCUAUGUUUUCCAUAUGUUUCUAGCGAGCCAAAAAAACUUUUGAGUUUAUUAGGUGUUUUCUGUCAUUGUAGAAUGAAUUUGCAAAAAAUACUAAUACAAAAUAAAAGCCAAUUUAAUAACGAAGAGGCAACCUAAAACCCUAAAUUGGCAACCUACGUAGUUUUGGCGAUAUCUCGUGAAAUGUGUACGAAAACAGGGGAAAAA